rnacentral:rRNA from 1 species
CCUCGAAUCAGGUGGGACUACCCGCUGAACUUAAGCAUAUCAAUAAGCGGAGGAAAAGAAACUAACAAGGAUUCCCCUAGUAACGGCGAGUGAAGCGGGAUGAGCUCAAAUUUAAAAUCUGAUAGUCUUUGGCUGUCCGAGUUGUAAUCUAGAGAAGUGUUUUCCGCGUUGGACCAUGUACAAGUUUCCUGGAACGGAACGUCAUAGAGGGUGAGAAUCCCGUCCUUGACAUGGACUACCAGUGCUUUGUGAUACACUCUCAACGAGUCGAGUUGUUUGGGAUUGCAGCUCAAAAUGGGAGGUAAAUUCCUUCCAAAGCUAAAUAUUGGCGAGAGACCGAUAGCGAACAAGUACCGUGAGGGAAAGAUGAAAGGCACUUUGGAAAGAGAGUUAAACAGUACGUGAAAUUGUUAAAAGGGAAACGAUUGAAGUCAGUCGCGUUUACUUGGACUCAGCCUUACCUCGGUUUGGUGCAUUUCCCUGUGAACGGGCCAGCGUCAAUGUUGUCCGUUGGAAAAGGGUUGGAGAAAUGUGGCUCUUUCGGGAGUGUUAUAGUCUCUGAUCGUAUACAACGGCGUAUAGUUGAGUUCUAGACGACUCGUGU